rnacentral:rRNA from 1 species
AGGGGCAGCAUGGUCUUAGCUUGCUAAGGCUGAUGGCGACCGGCGCACGGGUGAGUAACACGUAUCCAACCUGCCGUCUACUCUUGGCCAGCCUUCUGAAAGGAAGAUUAAUCCAGGAUGGGAUCAUGAGUUCACAUGUCCGCAUGAUUAAAGGUAUUUUCCGGUAGACGAUGGGGAUGCGUUCCAUUAGAUAGUAGGCGGGGUAACGGCCCACCUAGUCAACGAUGGAUAGGGGUUCUGAGAGGAAGGUCCCCCACAUUGGAACUGAGACACGGUCCAAACUCCUACGGGAGGCAGCAGUGAGGAAUAUUGGUCAAUGGGCGAUGGCCUGAACCAGCCAAGUAGCGUGAAGGAUGACUGCCCUAUGGGUUGUAAACUUCUUUUAUAAAGGAAUAAAGUCGGGUAUGCAUACCCGUUUGCAUGUACUUUAUGAAUAAGGAUCGGCUAACUCCGUGCCAGCAGCCGCGGUAAUACGGAGGAUCCGAGCGUUAUCCGGAUUUAUUGGGUUUAAAGGGAGCGUAGAUGGAUGUUUAAGUCAGUUGUGAAAGUUUGCGGCUCAACCGUAAAAUUGCAGUUGAUACUGGAUGUCUUGAGUGCAGUUGAGGCAGGCGGAAUUCGUGGUGUAGCGGUGAAAUGCUUAGAUAUCACGAAGAACUCCGAUUGCGAAGGCAGCCUGCUAAGCUGCAACUGACAUUGAGGCUCGAAAGUG